AUCAACCACAACAUUCUCAUACUUAGGCUUAAGAAUGUGAUUGGUAUCAAGGGCUUAGCCUUGAAGUCGGUUUCUGUUAAAUUAGGAUUUUUUUUCCUCAGCACCUUCUUACUUCAUUUCACUACCUCAAUUGUUCUAGUUACUGUUCUAGCCCUUGGUAAUAAAUAUGAUUUGCAAAGAAAUAAUCAGAUGUACUUUCAUAAAAUGCUCUCCAAAAACAAUAACCAAAGUAUAACAAUCAACACUGAAAUAAGAACUGACAAAGAAGAAAAAACAAACAAACAAAAAAAAGAAGGUACUAUUGAAUACAAAUAGGGACAAUAAUGAACUACAACUAGAAAUGUAGUGUAGAUGGAGGAACUACACUAGAAAUGUGUGUAGAUGGAGCCAAAAGAAAGGAGGACCACAGCAGGAAAGGUGGUAGAUGAUUAACUAAAUCUAAUAUUUCUUUAUUUUAAGAGGCGCAGAGUUGUUUGAAGCCAAAGUGAAGAAACAGGUGGCAGCAAGAUUAGAAAUGGAGAAAAAAUCUGUGGAGAUACUGAAGAAACAGUAUGGACAUAUUUUCUUCUUCUGCUUCUUCUUUUGUCAUUUAUUAAUGCUAGUAAUGAUUAAUGUGCUUUAAUAGUGUACAUUAGUGUAAAGCUGGUUUCAUUUUUGUCCCACAGAAUGGACAAAAUCAAGUCAAAACAGAAGAAUGCUUCUUAUCAACAGGUUACAUCAUCUACUACUCAUGCUGAAUCCUCAUAUUGCCCAAAGCGAAACGAUGGGGACUGUGGCUAUGAUCUGUUUGAAACUGACAGUGCGGAGGAGGAAGAGGAGGUGAAGGACAAGACAGAUGACAACAUUUUUCCUAAGAAGAAAACUGCUUUUCAGUUGGCCUAUGAGGCUUGGGUGGCAGGCUACAAGGCAGCCCUGAGGGACCAUGAAUGUCAAGAGCAAGAAGAGCAAAUCAAAGUCAAAAGACAGUUGCACAGACAAGAGGGCAUGGAGAAAGAGGAGUCUGGUGAAGAGCAGCAGGAGGAGUUCAGUCAAAAAGAAGAGGAAGUAAAAGAGCACAUACUUAAGCGAACACUUGACACUGUGAAAUUUUUCUGGGUUUUUCUUAUCUGUCUUACUGAGGAUGUAAUAUCUGGUCUGAAGUCACUCUGUAAAGACAGCUUGGAUAUUUCUAAAGUUCUUCGCUUUGAGAAAACUCUACUGAGCAUACAACAGAACAAGGUGAUGUCAGUAAUCUGCCAAUCAUAUUUUAUUCCAUUGCCUUCCUACAAUGAUAUGGAAG
rnacentral:lncRNA from 1 species